rnacentral:rRNA from 1 species
CCGCUACCUGCAGUCGAACGGGAAGUGGAGCAAUCCAUGAGUACAGUGGCGUACGGGUGAGUAACACGUGGGUAUCUAACUCUUAGUGGGGAAUAACCCUGGGAAACCGGGGCUAAUACCGCAUAAGCUCGAGAGAGGAAAGCAGCAAUGCGCUGAGAGAGGAGCCCGCGGCCGAUUAGCUAGUUGGCAGGGUAAAAGCCUACCAAGGCAGAGAUCGGUAGCCGGCCUGAGAGGGCACACGGCCACACUGGCACUGAAACACGGGCCAGACUCCUACGGGAGGCAGCAGUGGGGAAUCUUGCACAAUGGAGGCAACUCUGAUGCAGCGACGCCGCGUGAGCGAUGAAGCCCUUCGGGGUGUAAAGCUCUUUCGUCAGGGAAGAUCAUGACGGUACCUGGAGAAGCAGCUGCGGCUAACUACGUGCCAGCAGCCGCGGUAAUACGUAGGCAGCGAGCGUUGUUCGGAGUUACUGGGCGUAAAGGGUGUGUAGGCGGUUCUUUAAGUUUGGCGUGAAAUCUCCCGGCUCAACCGGGAGGGUGCGUCGAAUACUGAGGGACUAGAGUACGGGAGAGGAAAGUGGAAUUCCUGGUGUAGCGGUGAAAUGCGUAGAUAUCAGGAGGAACACCGGUGGUGUAGACNGCUUUCUGGACCGUAACUGACGCUGAGACACGAAAGCGUGGGUAGCAAACAGGAUUAGAUACCCUGGUAGUCCACGCCCUAAACGAUGCAUAUUUGGUGUGGGUCAUUCAGUUGAUCCGUGCCGGAGCUAACGCGUUAAAUAUGCCGCCUGGGGAGUACAGUCGCAAGGCUGAAACUCAAAGGAAUUGACGGGGGCCCGCACAAGCGGUGGA